UAGCGAAGGGGGCUAGCGUUGCUCGGAAUCACUGGGCGUAAAGGGUGCGUAGGCGGGUCUUUAAGUCAGGGGUGAAAUCCUGGAGCUCAACUCCAGAACUGCCUUUGAUACUGAAGAUCUUGAGUUCGGGAGAGGUGAGUGGAACUGCGAGUGUAGAGGUGAAAUUCGUAGAUAUUCGCAAGAACACCAGUGGCGAAGGCGGCUCACUGGCCCGAUACUGACGCUGAGGCACGAAAGCGUGGGGAGCAAACAGGG
rnacentral:rRNA from 1 species